rnacentral:rRNA from 1 species
AGUGAACGCUGGCGGUAGGCCUAACACAUGCAAGUCGAACGGCAGCACAGUAAGAGCUUGCUCUUACGGGUGGCGAGUGGCGGACGGGUGAGGAAUACAUCGGAAUCUACUUUUUCGUGGGGGAUAACGUAGGGAAACUUACGCUAAUACCGCAUACGACCUACGGGUGAAAGCAGGGGAUCUUCGGACCUUGCGCGAUUGAAUGAGCCGAUGUCGGAUUGGCUAGUUGGGGGGGUAAAGGCCCACCAAGGGGACGAUCCGUAGCUGGUCUGAGAGGAUGGUCAGCCACACUGGAACUGAGACACGGUCCAGACUCCUACGGGAGGCAGCAGUGGGGAAUAUUGGACAAUGGGCGCAAGCCUGAUCCAGCCAUACCGCGUGGGUGAAGAAGGCCUUCGGGUUGUAAAGCCCUUUUGUUGGGAAAGAAAAGCAGCAGGUUAAUACCCCGCUGUUCUGACGGUACCCAAAGAAUAAGCACCGGCUAACUUCGUG